CCUACGGGGGGCUGCAGUGGGGAAUAUUGCACAAUGGGGGAAACCCUGAUGCAGCGACGCCGCGUGAGUGAAGAAGUAUUUCGGUACGUAAAGCUCUAUCAGCAGGGAAGAAAAUGACGGUACCUGACUACGAAGCCCCGGCUAACUACGUGCCAGCAGCCGCGGUAAUACGUAGGGGGCAAGCGUUAUCCGGAUUUACUGGGUGUAAAGGGAGCGUAGACGGCAGCGCAAGUCUGAAGUGAAAUCCCAUGGCUUAACCAUGGAACUGCUUUGGAAACUGUUGGUCUUGAGUAUCGGAGAGGCAGGCGGAAUUCCUAGUGUAGCGGUGAAAUGCGUAGAUAUUAGGAGGAACACCAGUGGCGAAGGCGGCCUGCUGGACGACAACUGACGGUGAGGCGCGAAAGCGUGGGGAGCAAACAGGAUUAGAUACCCUUGUAGUC
rnacentral:rRNA from 1 species